rnacentral:rRNA from 1 species
AUUGAACGCUGGCGGCAGGCCUAACACAUGCAAGUCGAACGGUAACAGGAAGCAGCUUGCUGCUUUGCUGACGAGUGGCGGACGGGUGAGUAAUGUCUGGGAAACUGCCUGAUGGAGGGGGAUAACUACUGGAAACGGUAGCUAAUACCGCAUAACGUCGCAAGACCAAAGAGGGGGACCUUAGGGCCUCUUGCCAUCGGAUGUGCCCAGAUGGGAUUAGCUAGUAGGUGGGGUAACGGCUCACCUAGGCGACGAUCCCUAGCUGGUCUGAGAGGAUGACCAGCCACACUGGAACUGAGACACGGUCCAGACUCCUACGGGAGGCAGCAGUGGGGAAUAUUGCACAAUGGGCGCAAGCCUGAU